GCCCGCCCCUGCCAUGAGAGACGCAGGGGGGAAGCGGGGCUGCCCCAGCCGCCGGCCAGGAAGCGGGGGAGGGGAAGGAAGAGAGAGACGGGCAGGUGGCUCCAGGAGAGCAGGGAGCCCGCCGCAGAGAGGCGCGGGGGCGGAGAGGGAAACAACAAGGCACGAGCCAGGCAGCUGCAGGAUGCAGGAGAGUCCUGCUGAAGGCAGCAGUGGGACGGAGAAACGGGAACAGGGAGAGGAAACGUGCAGAAGGGGUCUCAUCUGAAGACAAGCAAAAGGAGUCACUGCUGUGGAUGACGCCAGCAGACCCAGCAAUCAAAGGAAGAAAAGAAUUAACUGUCUUGGUGACUUGUUCUGAGUGAGCUGCAUUGCCUGGACGUUAUCCAUUGGAUCUGACAAAUGAAUGUCCUCCUGAUACUGUCUUUCUGAAGGUCUGUCUUCAUACAUAGAUUCUUCCUGAUAAGGUGCCAAAAAUGGGCAGUGAGACCACCUCACCUGAGGAGCUCACGUGAUAGGAAAGAGAGUGUCCUCCCACAAGCAAGCCAGAUACCUUGUGUGGGAGGUCUGAAGUGGGGAAUACACAGGACAAGAGGCACCCUCUAAAAUCCUGGCCUCUUCCCCUUCAGUUCCAUCACAGGAUCUGUGAGCUGCAGCCAGUGAUGUCACCUCCAUCAGGUUCACUGCUCGGAAAGCAAACACAGCAGCUGCCAGGACUGAAAAAGAAUGCACAAUAUUUAAACUGCUGACCUAUUAAUUAAUUGUAAGAAUUAAUCUUGAUCUAAAAUUAUUAGCACUCUCUCUUUUUUUUAAUCAAUCAUUCUGGUUUUGAAGGAUAGUAAGUAGUGGAUUUCAGUGCUUUAGUUCUUGCCAUGUGGCUACUCCUUCAUAAAAAUGAAUAAGUAUGUUACUGUGCUUUUUGGAAAAAGUUGAGUAAUAAUGUGCUUAACCUGACUGGGUUUUAACUGUGUGAAAGACAUGAUUAAAAAUAACAUUUUAAAUUGGUUCUUUUCUAGGCAGAAGAUAAACAUUUAUUUAAAGAGCAAAAUUUCAAUGCAUAAUGUGAACAGAGGGCUCAUUUAUUAAUUUAUGUUGCUUUUGGACUGUAAAAUUAGUUUCUCUCAUAAAGGGAGAUAUCCUUUCUCUGCAUACGUCAUACAGAUGCAAAUCUAACUGAAAGACUAAUCUUCUAUUCUUAGGGCAAGAGCUUUUCGUUUUAUUGAGCUUCUGUAUCAGACUAGCUUCUUGCCUCACACUGUGCCUCUGUAAUAAUCAGAUGUGUGAUAUUUUCAAUUAAAAAAGCAAGCUUCUAAUUCCACUUUAAAUUACUUGUGAAAUGUUUUGCAUGCUUAUUGUCAAUAUAAUAAAAUUUACAAAAUUUAUAAUUAAUGAAUUUAAUUAAUGAUGUUACUAAAAAAAGUAAAUAAACAGCAGGGGUAUACAGUAGUAGAAAAUAAGGAGGAUUUUCAGGACUCCUACUGAUAGUAAAGGAGUCAUCUUUCCCUGGGAGGGGGGCAAGGAGAACUACAUCUUUUGUAUAGCAGUGACAAACUAAUGUAAACUAGACUAAUGCACUACAUUAUCUUUGGGGCAGGGAACAUACAGGCCUUCUUUUAAGUUCACAAAGCAGCUAGCACUUUAUCAAUGCUAUCAAAAGAAAAUACUACUACUACUACUAAUGGAGAAGUAGUCACAAUAAAACCAGUUUAACUCACUGACAAUUCCUGUAAGAACUGGGAAAUUUGUGAAUUACCACUUUACCUAUUUAAUAUAUAUUGACUUUCAGCAAAUCUGUUUUCAGCAGUCAUAUAAAAAGAAUUGAAUUUUCCUCUCUUGGUAACAUCAAUGUUAAUUUGUCAUGUAUUAUCUUUAAAAUUAUCCACAAAUAAAAUUUUCAUUACCAGCGAGAAUUUCUAGAGAAUUGUAUCCUAGGAUUCUGUCCCACAAAAGCAGAAGUUGGUCUGUAGCUAAGUAACCAGAGAACGCUCGUACCAUCCAUUUAAACGAUAUUCGUAGUCUGUAAACAAUUGG